UUGAACGCUGGCGGCAUGCUUUACACAUGCAAGUCGAACGGCAGCGGGGGCUUCGGCCUGCCGGCGAGUGGCGAACGGGUGAGUAAUGCCUCGGAACGUACCCAGUCGUGGGGGAUAACUACGCGAAAGCGUGGCUAAUACCGCAUACGCCCUGAGGGGGAAAGCGGGGGACCUUCGGGCCUCGCGCGAUUGGAGUGGCCUAGGCCUGAUUAGCUAGUUGGUGAGGUAAAGGCUCACCAAGGCGACGAUCAGUAGCUGGUCUGAGAGGAUGAUCAGCCACACUGGAACUGAGACACGGUCCAGACUCCUACGGGAGGCAGCAGUGGGGAAUUUUGGACAAUGGGGGAAACCCUGAUCCAGCCAUUCCGCGUGAGUGAAGAAGGCCUUCGGGUUGUAAAGCGCUUUCAGGAGGGAAGAAACGGUUGCGGCUAAUACCCGCGACUAAUGACGGUACCUUCAGAAGAAGCACCGGCUAACUACGU
rnacentral:rRNA from 1 species